rnacentral:rRNA from 1 species
UACGUAGGGCGCAAGCGUUGUCCGGAAUUAUUGGGCGUAAAGAGCUCGUAGGCGGCUUGUCACGUCGGAUGUGAAAGCCCCGAGGCUUAACCUCGGGUCUGCAUUCGAUACGGGCUAGCUAGAGUGUGGUAGGGGAGAUCGGAAUUCCUGGUGUAGCGGUGAAAUGCGCAGAUAUCAGGAGGAACACCGGUGGCGAAGGCGGAUCUCUGGGCCAUUACUGACGCUGAGGAGCGAAAGCGUGGGGAGCGAACAGG